UUGCAGAGGGCAGCGGAGCAUCUGCAGGAAGCGGACCUGCACAAUCUAGCUGUUUCGCUUUGCAGUGCAGACGAGGAGCGCUCUUGUAAUGUUGGAGGAGCAGUCAUACUGAGAUUGGUCAGAUGAGAGAUCGGCCAACCUGUGGCAGAGACCAAGGAAGGAACAGCCACCCAGAGCCCAUCCCUAGGGAUGGAAGCCAGACAAUGAUCUGCAGAUACCACGGAGAAAGAAGUGAAGGGUAAGAGCCCACCCCCGUCGUGAGAUGGAAAGCACCAAGAGCCGUGAGACCACAAGCGUUGUCGAUGCCAGCCUAUGGUGAUGCCAUCGAUCUGGAAGUGGAGCAGCCGUCACCAUCAGUGAGAUAAGUGUCUGGUUUGGGGAGGACUCCGGUAACGGCCCACCUGCCUCCAGGCUGAGACUUGUCAUUAGCUGGGGCUCGGUUUGUAGGGAAAGAUUCCUGACCUGCUGUGGUUACGAGGGAGACAAGGUCCCCAUUUUCAGGGGCAGGUCUUUUCUCUGUCCACAAACAGUGUGUCCUACGCAGCCGAAGGUUGGAUCGAGGAGGAUGACUCCAGCUGUUGAGUUUCUUGACUCCAUCCCACAUUUUUCUCUCUCUCUCCCCUAAUGUGUUGGCCAACACACACUGUCUCUCUCUCUCUCUCUCUGUCCUUG